rnacentral:ncRNA from 1 species
UAUACCAAAGUGCAAACCAGCCGAAAAGCUGGAGUGCCAAGCUGCGGAUAUAAAGCUUUUAAUGCUAUGGUAGCCGGGCUGCCGAU